GAUGAACGCUGGCGGCGUGCCUAAUACAUGCAAGUCGAGCGAACGGACGAGAAGCUUGCUUUUCUGAUGUUAGCGGCGGACGGGUGAGUAACACGUGGAUAACCUACCUAUAAGACUGGGAUAACUUCGGGAAGCCGGAGCUAAUACCGGAUAAUAUUUUGAACCGCAUGGUUCAAAAGAGAAAGACGGUCUUGCUGUCACUUAUAGAUGGAUCCGCGCUGCAUUAGCUAGUUGGUAAGGUAACGGCUUACCAAAGCAACGAUGCAUAGCCGACCUGAGAGGGUGAUCGGCCACACUGGAACUGAGACACGGUCCAGACUCCUACGGGAGGCAGCAGUAGGGAAUCUUCCGCAAUGGGCGAAAGCCUGACGGAGCAACGCCGCGUGAGUGAUGAAGGUCUUCGGAUCGUAAAACUCUGUUAUUAGGGAAGAACAUAUGUGUAAGUAACUGUGCACAUCUUGACGGUACCUAAUCAGAAAGCCACGGCUAACUACGUG
rnacentral:rRNA from 1 species